AAGCGGUGGAUGAUGUGGCUUAAUUCGAUGCAACGCGAAAACCUUACCCACCUUUGACAUGUACGGAAUCCUUUAGAGAUAGAGGAGUGCUCGAAAGAGAGCCGUAACACAGGUGCUGCAUGGCUGUCGUCAGCUCGUGUCGUGAGGUGUUGGGUUAAGUCCCGCAACGAGCGCAACCCUUGUCAUUAGUUGCUACAUUCAGUUGGGCACUCUAAUGAGACUGCCGGUGACAAACCGGAGGAAGUGGGGAUGACGUCAAGUCCCCAUGGCCCUUAUAGGUGGGGCUACACACGUCAUACAAUGGAUGGUACAAAGGGUCGCCAACCCGCGAGGGGGAGCCAAUCCCAUAAAGCCAUUCGUAGUCCGGAUCGCAGUCUGCAACUCGACUGCGUGAAGUCGGAAUCGCUAGUAAUCGUGGAUCAGAAUGUCACGGUGAAUACGUUCCCGGGCCUU
rnacentral:rRNA from 1 species